AGCUGACAUUUUGCAGAAACACUGACGAAAAAGAAAGUAACUUCCCAAGGCUGGAGUAACUUCACCAAGAGCAUCCCGAGGUGCGCAUCAGCUUGUGUCCAUGGCAAUAGCUCAUCCCGUUUGCCUAAAAUCAUUGUCACCUGAUACUCCCACCCUUGCUGCUAAUCCUAUUUGAUGGAAACCUCUCAAACUGAGGAGUUCUGGCUCCAGAGGCUGUGCAUGUAUGUCUCACGUCUGUUCUCUGCCACCAGAAUGAGGACCUGGUCGCAAUGCUGCAAUUCGAGUACAGAGUGCCGGGGGCCCGAUUUCACAUGUGCCAGAGCCCUGCAGUGGUUCAUCGGGGCUCAUUGGUCCUCACCCUGCUCAUUUGUUCUAAGGGCUUUGUUCCUUUCAAUAAGCCUCCUCAGCUUCAGCACAAGUAUCAGGGAUACAAUAACUUCAGAGGAGGCCAGGCCUCCUCUUGAAUUCAUAUCAGCUGUCCAUCCAUGAGUCUCCAGUGAGGAAAAACAAGCACCAUUCCAGCUAUUUCUACCGGAAGGAGUUUAAUACAGGGAACUGGUUGUACAAUUAAGGAAAGAGCUGAAAGAAGAGCCUCAAAAGCUGGGACAGCCCCAGUGUUCAUUUCGACAGACAACUUCUGGGCACCUCACCGCGGAGGCUUCUGGGGCAACAGGAAGAGGUGAUGCUGCCAGAGCUUAAGACCGAGGGAGGUAGAGGGGGUUCAGUCACAUAGGAGAAACCGCUAAGGCAGAGGGAGAAAGGUCCUGGCUUCUCCUCUUGUCUGCCCCUCUUGGUGGAAAUUUCCCGGAAGCCAGUUAGCCGUGUUUUCUUGUUUCCCCAGUCUUUCCCCCUCUGUUACUCUAAGAAUAAAAGGUAAAAUCUU